CCCAAUGGUACUACAUUCAUAAUGAUACGAAAUUACAUCUCAGCAAUCCUUCCCUUGUGGGCGGACUUUAUUUUGUAGAGGCGAAGAAAGGACAGGAGCAGGAAGGACUGAACGAUAGAUCCUUAAUUCUAUUGACAACCUCAGGUUUCUGAAGCUUGAAAAGGCAGCACAGGCAAUCCACUCAGAAAACACAGAAAUGGUUCAUCGGAUAGUUUCCUGUCCUCCUGCCCAGUGUCUAAUAUUCCUGAGGGAACCUGUACUCAGUUCCUUUUGAUAUAUACCAUACAUAUAGCAUAUCCUUACCAUCAAUGUAUAAAAUAUGUCAAAUUCCACUGAAAUAAAAGGGAUGUAUGAUACAGUAAAGUGCCUAAUCUGCCCAACCGGUCACUGGUAGAGUUUAUACUUUAACCAUGCUUGAGUAGAUUCAGGAUGUUUUGAUUUCACACCUGAGUUUGUCUUUUUCUGU